UUCUGAGACAUGAAUCCAGGCCCUACGGGNCGCAGCAGGCGCGAAAACUUUACAAUGCGGGAAACCGUGAUAAGGGGACACCGAGUGUCAGCAUCAUAUGCUGGCUGUCCGGAUGUGUAAAAUACAUCUGUUAGCAAGGGCCGGGCAAGACCGGUGCCAGCCGCCGCGGUAACACCGGCGGCCCGAGUGGUGAUCGUGAUUAUUGGGUCUAAAGGGUCUGUAGCCGGUUUGGUCAGUCCUCCGGGAAAUCUGACAGCUCAACUGUUAGGCUUUCGGGGGAUACUGCCAGACUUGGAACCGGGAGAGGUAAGAGGUACUACAGGGGUAGGAGUGAAAUCUUGUAAUCCCUGUGGGACCACCUGUGGCGAAGGCGUCUUACCAGAACGGGUUCGACGGUGAGGGACGAAAGCUGGGGGCACGAACCGGAUUAGAUACCCGGGUAGUCCCAGCCGUAAACGAUGCUCGCUAGGUGUCAGGCAUGGCGCGACCGUGUCUGGUGCCGCAGCGAAGCCGUGAAGCGAGCCACCUCCGAAGUACGGCCGCAAGGCUGAAACUUAAAGGAAUUGGCGGGGGAGCACAACAACGGGUGGAGCCUGCGGUNNAANNNNNNNNAACGCCGGACAACUCACCGGGGACGACAGCAAUAUGUAGGCCAGGCCGAAGACCUUGCCUNAAUCGCUGAGAGGAGGUGCAUGGCCGUCGCCAGUUCGUACUGUGAAGCAUCCUGUUAAGUCAGGCAACGAGCGAGACCCGUGCCNACUGUUACCAGCAUGUCCUCCGGGACGAUGGGUACUCUGUGG
rnacentral:rRNA from 1 species